AUUUUUGUGGAGAGUUUGAUCCUGGCUCAGGAUGAACGCUGGCGGCGUGCUUAACACAUGC
rnacentral:rRNA from 1 species